CAAAAACAUAGUCAAAUGUUAUUAUAUUGGUGUUUCCUGCUCAAUGAUAUGAUUAAAUAGCCGCAGUACCCUGACUGUGCAAAGGUAGCAUAAUCAAUUGGCUUAUAAUUGAAGUCUAGAAUGAAAGGAUAUACGGGGAGUUACUGUAUCUAAUAUUUGUAACGAAAUUAGUUUUCAAGUGCAAAUACUUGUAAGUAAUUGUUAGACGAGGAGACCCUAGAAAUUUGCAGUAUUGUUUAGUUGGGGCAACGUAGUAGGAGUAACCUACAGUAAAAGACAAGAAAAUAAUUUGACAGAAAAAAUUACUCUAGGGAUAACAGCAUAAUUUAUAAAAGUUUGUGACCUCGAUGUUGGAUUUGGGAAUUAUAGUCCAGAAGAUUUUUAAUAUUGCUCUGUUCGAGCA
rnacentral:rRNA from 1 species